rnacentral:piRNA from 1 species
UAUUAUUAUCAUUAUCAUUAUUGUUGUUGU